CAUGCAGUCGAGCGGCAGCGCGGGGGCAACCCUGGCGGCGAGCGGCGAACGGGUGAGUAACACAUCGGAACGUACCCAGUUGUGGGGGAUAGCCCGGCGAAAGCCGGAUUAAUACCGCAUACGACCUGAGGGUGAAAGGGGGGGAUCGCAAGACCUCUCGCAGUUGGAGCGGCCGAUGGCGGAUUAGCUAGUUGGUGGGGUAAAGGCUCACCAAGGCGACGAUCCGUAGCUGGUCUGAGAGGACGACCAGCCACACUGGAACUGAGACACGGUCCAGACUCCUACGGGAGGCAGCAGUGGGGAAUUUUGGACAAUGGGGGCAACCCUGAUCCAGCCAUUCCGCGUGAGUGAAGAAGGCCUUCGGGUUGUAAAGCUCUUUCGGCAGGAACGAAACGGUGUGGGCGAAUACCCCACAUCAAUGACGGUACCUGAAGAAGAAGCACCGGCUAACUACGUGCCAGCAGCCGCGGUAAUACGUAGGGUGCGAGCGUUAAUCGGAAUUACUGGGCGUAAAGCGUGCGCAGGCGGUUUUGUAAGACAGGUGUGAAAUCCCCGGGCUUAACCUGGGAACUGCGCUUGUGACUGCAAGACUGGAGUGUGGCAGAGGGGGUGGAAUUCCACGUGUAGCAGUGAAAUGCGUAGAGAUGUGGAGGAACACCGAUGGCGAAGCAGCCCCUGGGUCAACACUGACGCUCAUGCACGAAAGCGUGGGGAGCAACAGGAUUAGAUACCCUGGUAGUCCACGCCCUAACGAUGCGAACUAG
rnacentral:rRNA from 1 species